CUUUUCGUUUAGUUUUAUCUUUGUUUGCUGAGAUAAGCGAGAUCGUACUCAUUCCAAUUCCGGAUAAUUUGUCUGCAUAGCCUUCGAAUGGCACAUACUGACCUCAGACUGGAGAAUGUUCAUGUAAGACCAGUAGACAAACGUUGUCAAAACAUGGUUGUCACACAUGCGUCCUGUCCCAAUGGCUCAAAUUGUUGGUCCUCGCAUGGCAAUGUCCCUGCUUGUAUUCAUGGAGUUGGUCAGCAACUCUCUUAUGGCCAGCAACCUCCAACGUUUAUUAA